GAGGGUAUAGCUCAAGUGGUAGAGCCCAUGCUUAGCAUGCAUGAGUUCCUGGGUUCAAUCCCUAGUACCUCCU
rnacentral:tRNA from 1 species